UACAGAGGGUGCAAGCGUUAAUCGGAAUUACUGGGCGUAAAGCGCGCGUAGGCGGUUGUAUAAGUUGGAUGUGAAAUCCCUGGGCUUAACCUAGGCACUGCAUUCAAAACUGUACAGCUAGAGUGUAGGAGAGGAAGGUAGAAUUCCAGGUGUAGCGGUGAAAUGCGUAGAGAUCUGGAGGAAUACCGAUGGCGAAGGCAGCCUUCUGGCCUAACACUGACGCUGAGGUGCGAAAGCAUGGGGAGCAAACAGG
rnacentral:misc_RNA from 1 species